rnacentral:rRNA from 1 species
UACGGGGGGGGCAAGCGUUGUUCGGAAUUACUGGGCGUAAAGGGCUCGUAGGCGGCCAACUAAGUCAGACGUGAAAUCCCUCGGCUUAACCGGGGAACUGCGUCUGAUACUGGAUGGCUUGAGUUUGGGAGAGGGAUGCGGAAUUCCAGGUGUAGCGGUGAAAUGCGUAGAUAUCUGGAGGAACACCGGUGGCGAAGGCGGCCUUCUGGACGGAUACUGACGCUGAGACGCGAAAGCGUGGGGAGCAAACAGG